AGAGAGAAGAGAACGAGAAAGUUCACCAUCCACUGAGAGCCAGGCAAGAGAGAACCCUGUGCACAUUAUGCUACUUAAUCUUCACAGCAAACUGUUAACCACGGUAGUUUUACCCAUAUUACAGAUGAGGAAGCUGAAGCUCAAAAAACCAUAUAUCCUGCCCAGGGUCACAGAAUUGGUCAGUGCUGGAGCUGGGAAACCUUUCAUUUCUGUUUUGUUGUUGUUGUUGUUGUUGCUGUUGUCUUUUGUUUUUUUAUCUUUUAAGGGCCGCACCAGCAGCAUAUGGAAGUUCCAGGCUAGGGGUCAAAUUGGAGCUACAGCUGCCAGCCUACACUACAGUCACAGCAACGUGGGAUCCAAGCUAUGUCUGCAACCUAUACCGCAGCUAAAGGCAACGCCGGAUCCUUAAUCCACUGAGUGAAGCCAGGGAUCAAACCUGCAUCCUCAUGGAUGCCAGUCAGGUUCAUUACCUAUGCACCACAGUGGGAACUCCUCAUUUCUGUUUUAUGAGAAUUUAGUUCAGUAUCUGAGUUGAGAAUUUUCAUUGAUGGUACAGGCCUUUUUAAAAUUCCUUCUCUUUCUUCUCCCUCCUUCUUCCUUCCUUCUCCCCUCCCUCCCUCCUCUUUCCUCCCUCUCCUCCUCUUUGCCACUUACCAUUGAAUUUUUGCUAGGAGUUAAGCAACCUAAUUUUGGUCUUAUCCAGGGCCUUCUGACUUCUAACCCACCCUCAUGUUUAUUUACCCCAAUUAAUAUCACCAUCCCAUCACUAACUCUGUGUUCCCCUGAGAGUGGGGUGUGUCACCUCUCCUGUGAAAGCAGGGCCCAAGGGACCCUAUCCAAGGGACAGUCCAUGUCACUUGGUCUCCCUAAUUCCUCUCCUCCCUCACAUCAAGUUACCCUCGGAGUUUCUGCAGGGUUGUCAGCAGCCCACGCUAGUUUGCCAUCUUGGCAGGAAGCCUGGGGAUGGGAAAUGAAUCCCAUAUAGUUCUAAUUCCAAAACACGUUAUUUUCACUAUACCAUGAGGCCUGCGUAGACACAAACAUAUUCUACUAGUACUCUCAGAAACAACUAAACUCCUUCAUUCAGCUUUGUGCAGCCCUCUUCCUCUCCCUAGAGUGAGACUAAGUGACAGGAGCAGAGAAUGCAGUCAUUCCUUCGCCCGCCAGAAUGUCUGCUUCUUGCAGCCAACAUUUCACAGAUGAAUGCCAUAGAAAAUGCCUUAGCUGCAUCCAGGGAAUUUUAAGUGCUUUCCUCCUGUUUCUGAGAGGAAACAAACAAACAAACAAACAAAAACUGUCCUUUCUGCAGCAAAGCCCCAGGAAUUGGCUGUUAGAUGGGCCCUGUGAGCUGGCAGUCAUGUGCCCUCUAGUGGUGAUCUGGAGGAAGUCCCACCAGAUGGUCUUUUCUGCAGGAAAUCAGCAGGGAGUGUGGAAGACAAAAAGACAGAAGGCCUGAGAACACUUUAAUAAUAAACAUUCAUGGUGGAAAGGCAUUUGCCUUAGGAUUUUAUUUAAAAUACCAAGUACAGGUCAUGGGUCUUAGGAGGAACAUCCAAGCCGUCCACAAAUCCUGGCAGGCUUCACUGAAGUUGCCUUGGAGCUGCCCUCCAGGUCCGGAGUCCCUAAGGCUUGGAUGGGUUCCUGAAGCAACGGUGCGGAGCUGGAGGAAAUCCACUUGCCAGAAUUCCUCCCAGGAAGGGGAGGCUGUUUCUGAUGGGAAAAUAUUUGAUAAGAAGCUGAGGCUUGAGUGGACAGAAUGGUUCUGUCUAGACCUGGGGGAGGAUCUGGUUAUUAUUUUUUUCUAUUCUAUUCUAUCUUUUUAGGCCUUUAUCCAUGGCAUAUGGAGGUUCCCAGGCUAGGGGUCAAAUCAGAGCUGUAGCCACUGGCCAACGCCACAGCCACAGCAACGCAGGAUUUGAGCCACGGCAAUGCCAGAUCCUUAACCCAGUGAGUGAGGCCAGGGAUCUAACCUGCGUCCUCAUGGAUACUAGUCAUAUUCAUUUCCACUGGGCCAUGACCGGAACUCCUGUUUGGUUUUUAUUUUAUUUUAUUUUUUUAAGUGCAGCCUAAGAAAGGGGAGAUGAAAAGGAUAAAUGAAAAAGUGAGAAAGCCGGGUGGGGGAAGGCUGCCCACCCCUCUACACACGAGCUCUCGCAGUGCGGGCCCCACAGCAACCCCAGGAAGGCUUCAGAUUGAUCUCUGGAGCCCACUAGUGAGUCAGGGACCCUUUGGGGCACUCCUCAAGGGGAGCUGAGCUCUGCAUUGGAGUCAGCGCAGAAGUGAAAACAGCACAUGGGCACAGGAGCGAGGUGGCCCAGAGAGACACAGGGAAUUAAGCCCUGAUAGCCGAGGGAUUGGACCAUAAUUACCCAAGUUGAACUAGAUUUCUGUGGGGGAGGGGAACAGGUAAAAGUUGCACAGGGAUAUAUUUGGUUAAAGCAGAUGUUCAGGCUCUGGUGUUCACAGACAACUACCCAACCUAAUAGCAACUCCAGCCUGAACGCCCAAAUUCACGUAAUAAUAAGAUACUUGACCAGGGUCCAUCUCAACUCAGAAACAGAGAAUGUGACACCAGCAUUCAGGAACAGAGCCUAUAUGAUCUUAGAACCAUGCAAUGAACCACUGAAAUGCCUUCAGAUUUAGUUACUUCAGUUUCCCAAGGUGGGAGAUGGGGUGACAGGGAAGAUAGAGGUGGCAGAGCACCCCCAGUCUGAGACUUGUCAGUUGGAACAUGAUGACUG
rnacentral:lncRNA from 1 species